UUGGGAGGUAUGCAGUUGAAAGUAAAAUGUAUAGCAUGAAAGGAUAAAACAAAUGGCAGAGCAAAGUGUACUCACUGAAAUCAGGGAUGGCAAUUCACCACUAGUGUCCAGGAGCACAGGAACUCCGCUGAGGCAGCAGCCACAUGUAGAAUCAGUUACUACAGUCUACAGUGUGAGCUCCCAAGAUGAACGCCGGACGUCCAGGACAGCCCCACAACAGCAGUAAGCAGCUCCUACAGGGAGGGUACAAGCCGCUCAAGGUCACCAGCCACCGGGAGACCAGACCGACAGCACCAGCGCCGGAUGCCGGCAGACACCGACACUGGAGACAUGGGCCAACCGCCAUAGAUGCGCGACCGGAUGUCCAGCUGCACCCCGGAGACAAACAGAGGCACAGGCCGCGGCACUGAAAGUCGGCUGUCACGCUCUGCAGGGGCACAGUGUGGGUCCACAGGGUGUCACCGGCUGCUCAAGCGGAUGUAUCAUAACUGAGACGUAGUUGGCAUCCCGAUGACCUAGAUGUCAGCGGUCAGAAGACCAGUGCUGGAAUCUCGACACCGCUCAGAAUCCCGGCAGUCAGCAUCCUGAAACUAAAUUUGGACAUUUACGUUGAACAAUACAUACCAGUGGUUUGGCCCAACUUGAUCUCUUCGGCAGUCCGGUCAAUUAGAACGUACAAUGAC